ensembl:lncRNA
GUUUUUCUUUUUUUUCGGGACUUUUCCUUCGAAAUUAAAUGUAACCACAGUAUCCUCAGCAGCUAAAGAAUGCCUCAGAGAUCAGUCUAUGCUUGUCACGAUGACCAAACAAAGAAGUAACAGAAACCACUUUAAUUCUGAUUCCUGCCAAUUUAACAAAAAGUGCUUUUCUUUCUACAUUAUACUUUCUGCAUUCCAGGAAAACAUGCCCUUCUGUUUCUACUGUUUGGUUGCAUAGAAAAAUAGUGUCUACCCUUAAUUUUCUUUUCCCACCCUCUCUGCCAUUCUUUUAUUAAGCCCUCUUUGUUUUAAAACACUGCGGCCACACAACUGUGUUCAAACACCUUAUACAAGUGAUUUUUGCAUAAUAGGUCACCUUUAGAGGAGAUUAAAGUCAUUUUUUUUUAUUUUCUGUUUGUCUAGGUGGAAGAUCUCAGUCUGCCUCUCUUGUCAGUCAACAGCAGAAGAGCAGUCAGACAUCAGAGCAGAACCAGAGUGAAGCGGUAUAUACAACUCUCACGUCUGGAACUGCUCAUAUUUAUGACUCUCUCGAUGCCACAAUUAAUAAAGACAUAAACACAGGUAACUAAUGAUGUNGUCUCCCAAACUGACAAAACUUGUGUGUUGACUGAUUUUAAAGGGAUUUUGAGUAGUUUUCUUCUGGGCAGGUACCACUCCAAAUAACAGACUACUACAAAUUAGCAAAUUUAUGUAUGUUUAAAUGAGAUUAAAGUAACUUCCUUAAAAUAUUUUCCUAAACAUUUUCUGUUUGUCUAGGUGGAAGAUCUCAGUCUGCCUCUCGUGUGAGUCAACAGCAGAAGAGCAGUCAGACAUCAGAGCAGAACCAGAGUGAAGCAGGACAUAAAACACUCAUGUCUGGAACUGCUCAUAUUUAUGACUCUCUUGAUGCCACAAUUAAUAAAGACAUAAGCACAGGUAAUGUAGACAUUGUAAGUGGACCUUCUGAACUCACCUAUGCUGAGAUUGAGCUCAAAUCUACAGAGAAACAGAAGAAAAAGAAAGAAAACAAAGGUAAUAGCAGUGAAAGUUCAGACACUGUGUACUCUCAGCUGAAUCUGGAAACUCAUCGAGGUGAGUGUCAAAGUAAAAACAUCAAACACAGUUCAAAAGGAGCCACUAACAACUGCAUACAAGCAUCGUUGAUGAAAUAUGAAAAAAUUCUAAUGUAUAUUUAAUGCAUUUUUAAUUAAUUUACACAUUGGAAAAAACUGAUGAUCUUUUAGUACUGCACAGUGUUUAUUUUUAUUGGCUGAUACCAGCAGAGGCAGCAGCUCAUCGUUUGACUGUUGAUUGAGAGCAGGUUUCCUUUUUUGUGUGUCUUCUUGAUUUUAAAUGUAUUUACAGCAUAGUCAUGAACAACCUGGAAAUACCUGCCAAUUUUAAAAUGAUGACUUCCAGGUCUGGAAGAGUUGUCUUACAAAUAAAUGUAUAUGAUGAAUAUAAUUUUUUUUGAAG